UUUUGUAUUGUUUUGUUUAGGAAAUGGCCUCAACCAGUGUUUUUGAAACAACCCCUCCAGGAAAAUGAACUCAACUUCCAAGUGUGGGAUCCUAGGAUCAAUGUGACAGAUCGUUUUCAUUUGAUGCCGAUCAUAACCCCAGCAUACCCCCAACAGAACUCCACAUACAAUGUGACCCAAUCCACUAGACGGUCAUGGAACAAGAACUUAAGAAGAGUUUGGAGGUAACAGAGGAAAUCGUUAAAGGAAAGUUGCCCUGGGAUAAAUUGUUUGAGCCUACUAACUUUUUCCAUCAGUACAAACAUUACAUUGUAUUGAGUGCAAGUGCAGGCUCAGAAAAAGAUCAUUUAAAAUGGUAAGAAAAUCAGCCAUUUAUUUGUUUAUACUCCC